GACAGGUGAGUCAUCGAAUCUUUGAACGCACAUUGCGCCCCCUGGCAUUCCGGGGGGCAUGCCUGUCCGAGCGUCAUUACUGCCCUCAAGCGCGGCUUGUGUGUUGGGCCUCGUCUCCCCCGGGAGACGGGCCCGAAAGGCAGUGGCGGCGCCGUGCCCGGUCCUCGAGCGUAUGGGGCUCUGUCACCCGCUCUGGAGGCCCGGCCGGCGUCCGCCGACCCCCCGACGUUUACGUCUUUCCGGUUGACCUCGGAUCAGGCAGGGAUACCCGCUGAACUUAAGCAUAUCAAUAAGCGGAGG
rnacentral:misc_RNA from 1 species